UUUGUGGGCCAGCGCUCUUGACCGAGAUGCAAAGGCCUUAUCAGCCAAGCAGAUGGCUGGACCAGCUGCCACUUCCCAGGGAGACCAGGAGUUUCCCCCUGGGUCAGCAGGGAGGGGUUUCCUGCGAGGAUCCCACGUGCCAAGUCCUCGGGGAUGCAAGACAUUCUGAGGAUGUGACUUACACGGGGAAGCUCACCAGGACUUCUCCGAUUCGAUAUAAAUAACUCUGCACUGGCAGAUGGGGCGCGAGCCAAGUAGUAAUGAAUACUAGGACAAACAAACAGGCCUCCGGGAUGCCGGCCCAGCCGCUCCAAACCACAGUUGGCAACAGGUUUGGAGGUGGCAGUGGGCGAAAAUCGUACCAGCAACACUGCAGUAAUCCUCGGGAGCGAACGCAGGGAAGCUCUCUCCAGAGCGUGCCCUGCUUGAGAGACAGCAAGAGUCAUGAGACCGCUCCCGGCCCGCCUUUGGCAAACAAGAGUCUAUAAUUAUGCAGACGUGCAUGGGAGCAGAAGGAAAUCCUGGAUUGCGUCUAGCAGUAUCGUAUGCUGCACAACAAAUCCUGUAUAGGAAGGACAGAAAACCACCUCGCCGAGACAUGUGGGUAAAGAUUUGAAAAGGAGGAAGGAGCAACCCAUGAGAAUAUUGAAGGGGAAGACCACUGCGGACAAAGAGAACAGCAAAUACCGCGGCUCAGAGGUAGGGUGCACCGGCUGUAUUUGACUUCCUUAGCAGAGGUCAGUGUGGGCGGAAAAGUGGGGGGCCGGGGGGGGGGGGUGCGUCUAAGAGGUAAUGGGAGGCAGGUCCUGGGAAGUUUGCAGAAUAAGAGCACAUACACCAGGCAGCAAUCACACUUCAAAGGCCCAUGUGAAGUUAAUGGUUAUGACUUUAUAUUUGAAUUUAGCUGUAAAAUGUGGCUUGAGAGCAAUCCCUAAAGCUCCUUCCGUGCUGGCUUAUCUGACGGGUCUUCUCUCGUGUCCGGAGUCGGUUCCUCCCUUUAGUCCAUCUUUGAUCUUUUCCCUGACCCUCAUCCUUGUUCCUACCUCCCUCUGCCCUACAUAGAACUGACAUUGCAUCAUGGUAACUGUUUUCUGCCUUCAACCAGGAACCCCUCAAGCACGACGAGGAGCCGUCAUCCUUGAAGGCAAUGCUCAAUAAAUUGAACUGCACUCUAUACAAUCCCACCAGACUAUUGUAGGAAAGGGCUAAAUGGCAACCGUUUGCAAGAAGAUUCUUUCGGUGCUGUCGCCAGAUUUGGUUUGUCUUUAAGCACCCUGCUGAAUGUGCAAUCAAUAUUUCAGUAAUUAUGUACAAAUAGUUCUCAUUAUAAAUCAAAGUUGUUAUUACUGCCUUAAGCUUUGGCCUUGGUCUCUUUUCUGGGAGACCGGGCUGUUUUCCCGGAGUCGGCGGCCUCAGCUGGCUCCCAUGCCGCUCCCCUACAAAGCUGCACGCCGGGGUUAGCUGGUUAAGGAGGACAGAAACCAGUCUCCGGACACAGCUGGAGUAAAUCUUAAGCACAACACUCACCAGCGAAGAGGAGCGGGCCUCUGCUCCUAAAUGCAGGAUUGUGGCUAGAAGGCCACCAUGACCCCUAAGAGCACAAAACUCUCUGAGGAAUUAUUGAGACCUAAGGUCACUCGACCUGAAGAAAGCUCUGGAACACGAACUGCAAGGCAGAGUUGUCCCAGUUGAUGUCCUCCUGUCAUUGGCCCCUAGGGGCUGGUCAGUCACAGGGUGCUUCCUGCAUGGGGCAGGGUGCUUGCGGGCGUAGGGGAUACCCCCCAAGCAAGGCAGGCUCUGUGUGCCAGGCCAGCUGUCCAGAGAAACAGCUCCAGGCAGCUGGGGGACAGGUGCGCUGGCCAGGGAAGGGGCACCUAGAUUAGCACCCAGGCCAAUCAGCGCACACUCCCUGGAGAUUCAAACUAGAACCAGAAGGCUUAGCCAACAAAGAUGAAGGGAAGCACAAACUCUGUACACUUUUUCUUCUUUCCCCACAAGGAAUUAGGCUUAGUUGCAAACCAAGACAAAAGGGUUCUUCAGGGAGUGGUGUCCUUAAGAUGAGGAAAUCCACAGGUAGCCCAACCUUUUCAUGAAAGUUCUUGUCCCGUCACUAGCAAAUGGCUCAGCUGUAUCUGAACCUGUUCAAAGCACGAGAAUACAUAGUGUUCCUUCUCGCCAGGGGGUCCUACCUCUGAAUUCUCUAUAA